rnacentral:rRNA from 1 species
UACGGGGGGGGCAAGCGUUGUUCGGAAUUACUGGGCGUAAAGGGCUUGUAGGUGGCCAACUAAGUCAGACGUGAAAUCCCUCGGCUUAACCGGGGAACUGCGUCUGAUACUGGAUGGCUAGAGUGUGGGAGAGGGAUGCGGAAUUCCAGGUGUAGCGGUGAAAUGCGUAGAUAUCUGGAGGAACACCGGUGGCGAAGGCGGCAUCCUGGACCACGACUGACACUGAAAAGCGAAAGCCAUGGGAGCAAACGGG